CCAUUCUCUCCCUGUCCUCAUAUUACACUUAUAUUACACAUAUUUCCAAAGGGCUGAUGAUGAAGCAUGCUACCCAUCUGUUGCAUGAAAAGUCUAUUAGCCAUUGCCAAUAAACUAGGACAAGUCAAAGAUUUUGCUUCCGUUUAUUCACUUAGGCUGUGGCAUACUCCAACGUACUUUAUGGAAAUAUGUGUCAUUCACAAUUCAGCUAGUGGUAUAUAUGUUUCAUGAGACAAAUCAGCAAGAUGACUAUUCAUUAUAAUAUAGCAGGGAAUACAGAGAGGGGAAGGGUGUGCUCAUUAAGAAGAACAGAAUAUAUGUGAGGGGGGAGUUAUAUUAUGUGUGCAAUAUACGAAAUAGUAUAUAUAUAAUUAGCUAUGGAAGAGUAAGAGGAGAUUUGUCCUUGUUUGUAUAGCUAGUUGACUAAAUAAACAAAAUUAUAUAUCAUCUAUCAAACUACUUAAGGGAGGGAAACUUUUAAACUCUUUAAAAAUAUUUUUUUACAACAACUAAGUCUUUUGGUAUCAAUUAGAGAAACAAACAGUAAAGGAAGUCAUUUAUUGAAGUUAGUCUUGCAGUUCAUUCAAAGGUCAUUGUGUCAAGGAAGCUCAUCCCCUCCCCCUCCCUGAGUAACUUUACAUGUCCAUCAAACAUUCCUGACAUGCUACAGUUGUGCCAGGUUUGCGUUGGCUUGUGUCUGUAUGUCAAUAAAAGUGAAGGUUUGGGGCAGGACGGGGGAGACCAACAAGAGAACGGGGGAGACCAACGAGAAAAAGGGAGAGAUGGAUGAGAAGACCAUGAGGGAAGCCUCAGGAGAAAGGACAGUGCAGAAGGUGUGCAGUGGUCAAUUCUGUUUGGCCAAUUCCUUCCACCCUCCACACUGGACCUAAUCAGAGGGAUCAAGGAACCAAACAGAAAACUCUAGUCAUGCGUGAGACUAGAGUACAUGUGGAACCAGCGUUAGCCCAGCCACAAAGUCACCAGAAUCUUGACCAACGUGUAAGUUCAGCUCUACACGUGUUCCAUGGGGAAACUCCCAAAGACCUCAGUGCAGCAGAACAAAAUGGCACCCCUCAUUUCUCCCAUUACAUACAGAUAAGGAAACUGGCA
rnacentral:lncRNA from 1 species